rnacentral:rRNA from 1 species
AAUGGGCGAAAGCCUGACGGAGCAACGCCGCGUGAGGGAUGAAGGCCUCUGGGCUGUAAACCUCUUUUAUCAAGGAAGAAGAUCUGACGGUACUUGAUGAAUAAGCCACGGCUAAUUCCGUGCCAGCAGCCGCGGUAAUACGGGAGUGGCAAGCGUUAUCCGGAAUUAUUGGGCGUAAAGCGUCCGCAGGCGGCCCUUCAAGUCUGCUGUUAAAAAGUGGAGCUUAACUCCAUCGUGGCAGUGGAAACUGUUGGGCUUGAGUGUGGUAGGGGCAGAGGGAAUUCCCGGUGUAGCGGUGAAAUGCGUAGAUAUCGGGAAGAACACCAGUGGCGAAGGCGCUCUGCUGGGCCAUCACUGACGCUCAUGGACGAAAGCCAGGGGAGCGAAAGGGAUU